GGGUCAGUAGGUUGGUCGUGCCACCGGUACGUACUGGUCUCACUGAUUCCUCCUUCCUGAAGAACCGUAAUGCCAUUAAUUUGGUGUUGCGGGGAAACAGGACUGUUACUUUGAAAAAAUUAGAGUGUUUAAAGCAAGCUAACGCUUGAAUACAUUAGCAUGGAAUAAUGAAAUAGGGCGAUCGAUCAUAUUUUGUUGGUUUCUAGGAUUGACGUA
rnacentral:rRNA from 1 species